ensembl:lncRNA
UUAUGUAAUCAAUUUACCAUAGGAACUUACUGAACUAAGUGAAGACAUGGAAUGCCUACAGGGAAUUUCUUGGUAGAGGAAAACAAGAAAACAAGUAAUAUCAGACUGAAAUUUUCAGCCAGGUGGUCAUAUGUUCCUAUAGUUCAGAUGUCAUUUUUGCAAAUUAACUACAAACAUUUACCCUUCUACCAUCAUUCACUUCCAUUUUUGCCAAAUCUUAAAACAUUUUUUUCCCCAAAAAAGAAAACACAUCAUGAGCAUCACUCAGUACUCACCCCAAAAUACUUACAGUUCAACUUUACAUGCGUACUUCAGACUACUGUUCUUUCAGAAAACACCAUUCCCUGUAGCAGUGAGACUCUUAAAUACAUGCUACUGACUAAAAGCAGACAGACAUAAACAAGAACCUUCCUUAAGAUGCUCAUUUCUAAUCUUCAUAAUCACGAAACAUUUUACUCUACACAAGUGUGUAUCUAGAUAAAUCUAUAAUCAACUAGACUUAUAACUACCGACUCCUCAAAACUUCUUAACAGAAUACUGUUUGGAAAGUCUAUCGACUUUCACCUACCGACAGAAAAGUAGAAAAUCUCUUUUAAUAAGGAGUUCUCAUGCUAGAUAUUUCUGUUCCUAUUAUCUAAAGCUAAUGAUUCCUUUGUCUGAAACGUAUCCUUUCUUUACAUGUCAAACACUUUUUUGUAGAUGAUUGUCAUCAAAGAACAUAAGAAAAAUUAGGUGACUAAAGUUGAAAAUAGGAGUAAUAAAAGACAAGGGUCAAAUGGCAGUGAUUAAUACCAUAGUGAUAUUUACCUUUAUUUGCUAUUAACAAUAAAUUUCCUUUGACUUUGCUUUACAGAUUCUAUGCAAAAUGGAACACACAUAAGAGAAAAAAAUAUGGGAUCUGCAGAAAAUGCAAGCUGACAAAACAUUAAAACAAACAUGAUUUAUAUAUUAAAUGGACUGGACUAGGAGUACUUCAGAAGUCAAAUUGAUUCAGAGUUAUACUGAGUAUGAACCUGUGUGUGAAAGACUCAGAAGCUGUGUUAUUGGCUUAAAAAUAAAUAAAUAAAAUUAAAACAACUGGACUGCAAGCCACCUGUUGCAGGGUAAUUCCUCUCAUUCUAAGUAACUGUUUAU